CUACGGAUGGUGCGAGCGUUGUUCGGAAUUACUGGGCGUAAAGGGCGCGUAGGCGGCGAUGUAAGUCAAAUGUGAAAGUCCUCGGCUUAACCGGGGAAGUGCAUCUGAAACUGCAUUGCUUGAGUAUGGGAGAGGAAAGUGGAAUUCCCGGUGUAGAGGUGAAAUUCGUAGAGAUCGGGAGGAAUACCGGUGGCGAAGGCGACUUUCUGGACCAAUACUGACGCUGAGGCGCGAAAGCGUGGGGAGCAAACAGGAUUAGAAACCCUAGUAGUCC
rnacentral:rRNA from 1 species